rnacentral:misc_RNA from 1 species
GAAAUGCGAUAAGUAGUGUGAAUUGCAGAAUUCAGUGAAUCAUCGAAUCUUUGAACGCACAUUGCGCCCCCUGGUAUUCCAGGGGGCAUGCCUGUUCGAGCGUCAUUUCACCACUCAAGCCUCGCUUGGUAUUGGGCGACGCGGUCCGCCGCGCGCCUCAAAUCGACCGGCUGGGUCUUUCGUCCCCUCAGCGUUGUGGAAACUAUUCGCUAAAGGGUGCCGCGGGAGGCCACGCCGUAAAACAACCCCAUUUCUAAGGUUGACCUCGGAUCAGGUAGGGAUACCCGCUGAACUUAAGC